CUUAUCUGUGAAUGGAGGAAGCAGCUUCAUCGUUUUAUAAAGAAACCAGGUUCCACACCUACCUCUCACCCACUUCAUUGAUGACCUUUCAAACUUUCACAUGGUCAAACGAUUCCUGAGCCAAGUCAGGAAUCUCAUGCUUUCAUGUGGCAUGCAUGCAGGGCCACUGUUCUUCUUGAUUCCAGCACAAAAGCAAGGGCAACAUUGUAAGUUCGUGUGGAUGACUUGGCACUCGCACUCCACAGUGCAACUUUCUCUUCAUCUUUCAGGAGAAGCACAAUUCACUCACCUUUCUCUUUCCUUCCACCCUCACCCACAACAAUGCAUGGAUCCAAACGGGGUGGUGUUGUGACUUCCGUCGUCGACAACAGUACCACCCCUGGAUCCAAACGGGGCCUUAGGGAGAAUAGGAAGAGAGGGAUAUUUUCCUUUGGUUCAGCAAUGUUCCAUUUAUGGUUAGUUCAGAUUCCAGUAUCCAAUUUCUACACUAAUUUCCCAAAACAAAAUUAUGCCAUCCUAAACCAUUAGUUUGACAUUUUAAAUAGGGGGAAGAAAUUAAUAUAAAAAUGUUAAAUCCAUCAUGAAAAUUGAUAAUCCCUUUAUUUAUGUACAUACAAGGUUCUAGAAAUGCAUAUCUGAAUUUGAAAGCAACACCUCUGAGGUUCACAUUUUUCUUUUAAGAGAAAAAAAAGCCACUAACAUAUACUCCUCUAAAUCCAAUAAUCAAUAAGGAAAAUAAAAUUAAAAAUCGAGACAGAGAGAGAGAAAUGUACCAGCCUUGGAAGAAGGAAGUAAAACCGGGGUUAUCAUGGUGGCAGUGGUAAUGCGAAGGAGGUGGCGGAGGGUACUCUUGAUUGAAAUAGCUUUGGUAACCUUGGUACUGCGGAGGCGGUGGCGAGAACGGUGCAUAUCCCGGCGGCGCCGGCACCGACGCUAUGGGUAACUCAGUGGCGGAUAAGGACGGGUGUAGCCUGUGUUGAUUAAAUUGAAAGAGAAUUAGCAGAACAAUUGAGGCAAAAAAGAGUGUUUAAUUUAAUUUAAUUCAUUUGCUUAAUUGAAUAAUUUACCCGGGGGAGGAUAAUAAGGGUCUCUCAGGUAAUUACUCAUUGUGUG
rnacentral:lncRNA from 1 species